AUAUAAAAAAGAAUAUUCACGAGCCAAACACGGCCUUAUCAGCUUCCGCAGCAAGAAACAGAAACUCAAAGAUCAUGCUGCGUUUCUCGAGGUACAUGAGCUCGUCGAACAAGAUUCCGAACGUUGAAGACGAUAAACGCCUCGUUCCCUCUGGAUCAAACCCCUUACACAAUAGGUAGAAUUUAUAUAUAUAAAUAGAGAAUAAUUUGCAUGUAAUCUAUAUAUAGUUUAAUUAAUUAAUUAGUAUUUUGCUACCUUUUUUUUUUUUUUGUGUUUUUCAGCUUUAUUUCAUAAAUUUGCUAUCUUUAAUUCUCACUGCUCUUGAAGGGCUUAUUUCUUU
rnacentral:lncRNA from 1 species